GCCGGUUCAGCAGCGCUGGACAGCCCCCGUCCAGGUUCGGACGCCACCUUCUUGCAACACCGAACUUCUCUGGAAGCUGCGGAGCCUUCAGCAUCCGUUUCCUCUCACCCCCGCGAAUCCCUCCAUCCUGCACGCAGCUGACCCCCCAUUCUCAUCAAGUCCCAGCCUAGGGCCUGGGCCACGAAACCUUUCUGGAUGCCCGGAUCCAUAUUAGGUGUUGAUCUGACUUCUGGUUCCUGCUAUUCCCAUGUGGCCCCGGGACCACCUUCUGAAGCAACAGGACCCAUACAUGACAUGUUAUAGAACCUGCCUACCUUGACUCCCCAUCUCUGCAAAUAUAUGACCAGACUAGAAUGAUCAGCACCAGACAUCCAUCUCCUGCUGACAGCCAAAAGGUGUGGAACUCCAUCCUGGAAGAAAUAAUCGACUGUUGGGUCUAAAAUCACACUGGAAUCUCAACUAGCCUGACAUCCUUGUUGACAUAUGCAGAAACCCAUGUGUGCAGGAGGAAGGCGCAGCCUUCUAGAAUGGAGGCAGAUGUUGUCAUCUUCAUAGCAGGAAUGAGCAAAGGGAGAUGUCAUCAAACUCAGUGACUUACCCAAGGUCACCCCACUGGCCUGUCACUGAGUGUCUGACCUUAGAGUGUGCCUUAACCCCUGGGUCCAGAAAGGACCUGGGUUCAGACCUCUCUCUUCCAAGCCAGCAGUUCCCUCUCUAUAAAUGCUGCAAGUUGCAUAUGGAAUUUUCCUGCCACUGA